GACGAACGCUGGCGGCGUGCUUAACACAUACAAGUGGAGCGACGAACCGGGCUUCGGCCCGGGGCAAAGCCGCGAACGGGUGAGUAACACGUGGGUAACCUGCCCCGAUGACCGGGACAACUCGAGGAAACUCGGGCUAAUACCGGAUGUGGCUUCUUCGCACAAGCGAAGUAGCCAAAGGUAGCUUCGGCUUCCGCAUCGGGAUGGGCCCGCGGCCCAUUAGCUUGUUGGUGAGGUAACGGCUCACCAAGGCCGCGAUGGGUAGCUGGUCUGAGAGGACGAUCAGCCACACUGGGACUGAGACACGGCCCAGACUCCUACGGGAGGCAGCAGUGGGGAAUCUUGCGCAAUGCGCGAAAGCGUGACGCAGCAACGCCGCGUGCGGGAAGACGGCCUUCGGGUUGUAAACCGCUUUCAGGAGGGACGAAGGCCGGGCGGUUAACAGCCGUUCCGGCUGACGGUACCUCCAGAAGAAGCCCCGGCUAACUACGUGCCAGCCGCCGCAGUAACAC
rnacentral:rRNA from 1 species